rnacentral:lncRNA from 1 species
AAAAUUGUAGUUGAAAAAGAGAAUAUUAAAUUUAAAGACUGUAGACGAUAUAUUAUUUGUAAAUUAAUAAGUUAUUAUUAAAAGAUACAUGUUCUAAAGAGAGAAGAUUCAGUGAACGGAUCAUUCGGAAUUUCCCACUUCCCUUUCAUAUUCGUCGUUGGGGUAGAUACAUAAUAAGAACCCAUAAAAGACUCCAGAAUUUGUAAAUAAAUACGAAAUUAAUGAAGAAUAUGCACAAAAAAUUGCAUACAGGAAGUUUUGGAUAAAUUAUGAAGUUAUAUCGAAGAUGAAGCUAAUAUAUUUUACACACAAUAUUAUUACAAGGAUAUAUCAGUUUCUAAGGUGGAUAAAUCUCCUAUGGAAGUAAUAGAGGGUUAGGCAUGACAAUAACAUAUCUUAUCCAGGUAAUUCCACUUUAAAUUGCCAAAAGGUUUUUACCUCAACCACUGAGAAUUUGAUAGAAUUAGCAUUUCGAGCUACAUCUACAUAGAAGUCCUCAAAUGAUUGACCUCCUUUUGAUACAUAGAGUGUAGUUUAAUUUUGUCAAUAAUGAUAUUGUAUUGAGAGCGAAAGUAUUUCAUUAAUUUUCUAAAAUGUCGGGAAUAGAAAACUGUGUGUCUUCUUUAGAUGUUGAGAUGAGGAAAUGUCGAAUAGGGAUGAUGAAAAUUUAAAUUCUGCAAAAGUCUACAAGAUUGCCCGAGGAAAGUGCAGGGAUCAAAUCCUAAGUCGAGGGAAAAAUUGUUUUAGGAAAAAUCCUGCUAAAAGAAAGAUAAUGGAUUACAUAUUCUGUUCAAGAGACCUUAUUAUAAAUAAAUGAUUUAUACGGCUUGGAAACAGGAAUGUAGAAAAGCUAAAGGAAUUGGUUAUUUCAAAGAGUCAAAAGUAUGUAAAAAUGGAAUUGUGAGAAACUUAAAAGUCAUGGUGAGAACCGUGACCAUAUUUAGUCCCACACCUUCAAUACAGAUUCUGCUAGUGAGGUAUCUAUUGUGGAUGAGCAUUUUUUUAAAGGAAAUUGGAAUACACUUAAAAAUUUGAAUAGACCUUCAGAGACUUGUUUGAAUGGAGCUACUUUUAAUCAAGUAGGAUCCAUAAUUUUAAAUGUAUGUUUUGGAAAUGCAGAGAAGAAAGAAGAGAUUAUAAUUGUCAAGAGAAAUUUUAAACUUGUAAUGUCGUGGGUAUUGUGUAAAAAAUUAAGAAUUAUACUGGAAGAUUAUCCAAGCCAAAUUCAAGAAGGUGAAUGGAAAAGAGCCAAAGAACCUAGUGAUCGUGGAAUCAAGGAAAUGAAAUAUAAUUCCGAUGAAGAAAUUAAAGCCAUGAGGACAUGCUUGUGGAUGAUUAUCUUGAUGUGUUAAGUGAUGGAAAUCAACCAAAAAAGACCGACAAAAAUAUCAUUAAUGGAAGAAAUAGAACCUUAGAAAAUCCACAAAGCAAGGGCUAUUCCCUUUGCUUAUAGAGAAGUUACGUAGAAGGAAUUGGAAGAAUUAUUCACAAAAUGAAUAAUUGAGCCGUUGGGAUAUAAACCUAAGGAAUUGUGUCACCCUAUUGUUGUGGUAGGAACAUAAAUGGUAAGGUUAGACUAACAGUCGAUCUAACAAAAUCAAAUACGUUUGUCAAAAGACUUAAACAUCCUAUGUCUCAUCUGAAGGAGAUAAUAUCAAACAUUCAACCUGGAAAUAAAUACUUUUUCACGAUUCAUGCAAUUAAAGGAUAUUGGCAUAUCCCUGUUCACCCUGAGAGCCAAGAUAUAACAAUGUUCAUAACUGUCUUGGGAAGAUUCAAGUUUGUAAGAUGGUAAAUGGGAUUAAAUGCAGCAAGUGAAGUAUUCAAUCUUAUGAUGGAACGAGCUUAUGGGGGAUUUCCAAAUACAAGGGAGUUAGUUGAUGAUAUUUUAAAAUAUGAUAAGACAUUUGAACAGCAUGUUAAAAGAGUCAAAGAAUUUCUUGAUCUAAGUAUUAAGCUUGGAAUAUUACUCAGAGAACAUGGAGUUAAUGUCCAUCCCAGAAAAACAGAAGCCCUUUCAAAAUACCAGCUCCUCAAAACAGAACCAAACUGAGGUGUUCUUGGGAAUGGUCAAUCAAAUGAGCGAUUUUUCAAAAUAAAUAGCCAGCUUAUCUAUCCUAUAAAGACUUUUUUUUUUUUGGUUAAAAAAAUUUAUUUAUAUUCUACAAUACAAACAACGUAAAUAAUGAAUACGCAUAAAGAUAAAAGUAGAUCAUAUAAUAUAAAAUAGGACAAUUACGUUUAAAAAAACAUAAAUGAUAAUUAUUGCUCAAAUUUAAUGUCCUGAAUUAAAAUACACUUUUAUAAUAUUCAAAAAAAGUUUAACCAUCGGCUAAAGUUAAUAAAAAACGACAAUGUCACAUUGAUUUGAUGAUAUUAAAAUAUUGCAGGGACCUCCAAGGAACAAAUUUGAUGAUAUUUCCGGCCCAUACCCACCACAAAGAUGAUGACAGAGGAAUUUUGAUGGAACGUGCUAACUAUCAAGCAGUUACGCUUAUCAUUAUAACUCUGAAUUCUUCCACAUGUAAUAAAGAGUCAAUAUUUAAUUUUUAAGCAAUUAAUGAUAUUAUUGUUAAUAAACCAAACUCAACGGCUUUAUCACAAGGAGAAGUACUUUUAUUUCUCUUAUAAGCUCCAAAUAAUAUAUUUGCAGUUAUUGAGUUUGAAGAAAUAUCUUCUUUCACACAAACGUUCCAUUCGAUAAAAAAAUUGACUACUCUCAAGACUGAUCCAUCGGAAUAGGGUAGAGUUUAAUAUAAAAUAACAUUUUUUGAACUGAUAAUAAAAUUUGAUAUUGUCAGUGGAUAUUCGAAAUUGUGAAGUAAAUUUCGUCCCCUCUGAAAUUGCAAAAAUUGAUCGAUGAGUUCUUCGUUCCCAGAAGGGGGAAGAUCCAGUACUACCAUAAAUUUAUCUUACACAGACUUCACUUUCACCACUUUUUUUUUUUAGUAAAAGCUCUUUAUUAAAAGCAUGAUUUCGAAUAAGUAAAAUAUUUGUAGGAGUUCAACUUGUUUAGAUAAUAUUAAUUAUUCAUCAUAGUACCUUAUUUUGUUUUUCUUUCUUUUUUAUUUUGGUAUAAACGAAUUUUUAUUUUUACUAAGUCAAAAUAAAGAUAUUUAAAUCUUAACAUUGGUGACCUCGACGUGAUAUCAUACCUCCAAAAAAUUCAUUCUGAUGGUCAAGACCAUGCGGAAAGGUCCCUCAGAUCGAACAAAAGUACGUAACGGCAGAGGUAAACAACUUAACUCUUGCCGUAUCAGAACUACUUCUUCCAAAAUUAUCGGCGAUGGAUCGGGAAAAUUGGUUUCAAAGAAUUGAGUUGGAAUUUUGGAUGACGAAGAUCAAUAAAGAUGAGACCAAAUAUUUAAUGGCUUCAGCAUUACCUGGUGAAGCUUUUAGGUAUAUACCUAUUAAAAAAGAAGGUAUCAUGUAUGAUAGUGCAAAAAAUGCAAUUUUACAUAUAUAGGGUCUCUCAUCUUCAAAUAGCAUUUAAAAAAAUUCUGAUAUCCUUUGCGAUUUAUUGGGAUUUGCCCCUGGGAAGUUAUAUAUGGAGUUGAACGUCUCCUUGACAAGGAAUAAGUCCCUGAUUUGUUUCAUCAUUUACUAAGGGAGACCCUCAUCAGAAAUGUGCCUAAAGACCUUCGAGGGUACUUGAGAGCAUAGUCCCAUAUUUUAAAAAGUUGCAGCAAACGUGAGUUGCAGCCAAAGAACUUAGCAAUUCACAUAUUUCCACUGUUGAAAACUCGACAGCUUCUCCUCCUAUAAAUCAUGUUUUCAAAAAACCUCUUCAUAACACAUCAAAAUUGAUUAAAUCUAAGGAGAAAAAAGAUAUCUACUAUUAUCAUUCUAAAUUUGCAAUGAACGCAACUACCUGUUCAGGAGCUAGUUGCCCUUUUUAUUUACUUGUUUCAAAAAAGCUAAAUUGCCCUCGGUUGCGUGGGACCGUGGUUGUAAAGUACCCUUAAACUUAUUUUUUAUCAAAGACAAUUCAAAGUUGAUACACUUUCUGGUAGAUACAGGAGCGCAAGUGCCUAUUAUUCCAUUUAAAAAAUGUAAAAGUCUUGUUCGAUAAAAUCUCUACCCUAUAAUUUGAUAUGGAGGAGCUCUAACUUUAAUUCUCAAUCUAGAAACCAAUUUCCAAUGGAAAUUUAUUGUAUUACAAAGUGGUUGUACAAUUUUGGGUGCAGAUUUUUUAUAUAAUUUCAGAUAUAGAAUUGAUAUUUGCAAUAAAAAGUUAUUCCAAGAUGAACCGUGCUUCAUAACAUAAAUAUCAAAGACUCGAGAAAUCAAAUCGAAAUAUAAUGAUGUCUUUGAUAAUAAAAGUUUCAUUGAAAUUUAUCCAGUUCACAGAGUUGAACACCAUAUCGAGGCGAAAGAUCCUUCUUGCUUUCCGAAAAAAUGCAGGUUGAUGGUGGGAAGUUAAAUUUUGUACGAGCCAAAAUCAACGAAUGUUGAAGAAAGGAAUCCUACGAUUGUUCUUUUCUAAUUUUUUACCCGCUAUUCACGUUUUUCCAAGACCCAAAGGAAUCUGGCGAAUGUGCCGAGGCUAUCGCCAAUUAAAUAGGAAGACGGACUUUGAUCGGUAUCCCUUCCCAAUUCUAAGAAAUUUGGUGGCUAAUCUAAAAAGUAUGACUAUUUUUAGUAAAAUGGAUUUACACAGAGCGUAUUACCAAAUACCUAUGAAUAGUACUUCUAUAAAUAAAACUGCAAUGAAUAUGCCAAGUUUUUAAAGUUUUGACAGACAACAAACCUUUAGUCACUGCGAUUGACAUUUGCAAUCCAUUUUGGACACCAAGAUAGUUCCGUACUUUUGCAUUCAUAGUAGAGUUCAAUUGUGAUAUCGAACACGUUUCUGGAAAAUUAAAUCAUACUAUAGACAUUCUUUUUAGAAGUGUAAAUAACAUCAAAGUAUGUCCAACCUUCAUUGGAGAUAUAAUUGAGGAUCAAAAGAAACAGUAUCCUAAUUUACUUAAGUUUAAAAUGAAACCUUCUUUUAAAUACAUUGCAGGAAUCCUACUUACUGGUUUUGGCAAUGAUGAUGCAUUCCGUAUGGCUGUGUCAUCUCCAGCAUUGCGUUAAAGAAUCGUGCAAUCUGUAUACAAUGACAAUCACCAAGGAUUUAAAAAAACGUUCAAGAAGGUUUCGCUUUUUUAUGCUUGUCCUAAUUUGCGAGCAGACGUCAGAAACUUCACUAGAGAGUGUUUAGCGUGUCAGAAAUCCAAACCUUUCUGGACAUCAAAACCAACGUCGUUUUUCGAUUCUCCAUUUGAAAGACUUUCCUUUAUUCAAGUAAACAUAAUCGGUCCAUUUUUACCAAUUCAGAGACAGCGCUAUGCCCUAAAUAUUAUGGAUCGUUUCAAAAGAUAUAACCUCCAAGACAAUAGUCAAUAAUUUUUCGAGUGGUUUGGAUUUCCAGAAACCAUUGUGUCUGACCGAGGAACACAGUUCACUAGUUCAUUUUGUAUGGGUGUUUGCAGGACAAUUGGUUUUGCAAGCAAGAACACAACUUCGUAUCAUCCAGAGUCCAACGGACUCAUAGAACGUUUCCAAAGAUUAUUUGAGACUGGGCUAGAAGCACGAAUGCUGAAAGAAAAAGGAGAUUGGAUCAAUGCACUACCUGUAGUUUUAUGGGGAUUGAGGAACUCAUUACCAAUAGACCUGGGUUCUAAAUAUUCACCUUUUCAAUUACUCGUAGGUUGCUCGGGAUGCAUGGCCUUUAAUUUCUUUAAUGCGUCCACCUUUACUUUUGGAAACCUCAACGUCGAAAGUUUCUUUUAAAAAAUGGAGUAAAUAACACACGUUCAUCCGAGACACUUUAAUAAAGGAGCCUUUAACAAACAAUUAAAAAACCGAAUUCAUUUUUGUUAAAAAUAAACCCAUAAAAGAGACUCUAUGUCCAGCUUUCUUGGGCCCGUUUAAGGUGAUUGAGAGGCACGAUCGUUACUAUAAAUUGGAUUUUUGAUCAAGAACUGAUGAUGUCUCGAUGGAUAGAUUUCGACCUGCAUUUGGAGUUCCAAGUAUCCUUCCAGUGUCUCCAACUAUAAAAUGCACAGGAUGUACAACUUGAGAAUGAUCUAUUUGUUUAUUGAUCAUUGUUGUUACUAACUACACGAUCUCUUUACUCACUCUAUCGUCUAGAGGGAGUAGUUUAAGAGUUUCACUUGUUUAGAUGAUAUUAACUAUUUGUCAUAGUCCCUUGUAUUCUUUUUCUUUCUUUUCCUAAAGAGGAAUGAUCAUUUUUACUCAGUUAAAAUAAAGAUAUUUAAAUUUUAACAUAUUUAAGAGACCUCUCAAAAGUAAGAUGGAAUCUCCCUCCUGAAAAGAUAGAUCCAAGUGCUCAAGUUAUGAUAACUUAUAAUUUUAUGAUGUAAAGGAGUCUUCUCUAAUAAAAAUCGAUUUCCAAACUUAAUAACCGAAGGCAUUUUUUCCUUAUUUUGUGAAUUAUAUCAAUUGUUGAACCUGAAUGAGAAGUAGGCAUUUCUUUCCAUAAAAUUCUCUGAAUAAGUGCUAUAAGUGGUGAAAAACUUCCAAAUCCGAAUGGUUAAGGGUGUUGCCACAUUAUUCCAUCCAUAAUAUUUAGAGGACGUGAAAUUCCCCUUCCUGUCUCUCAAUGGGUAUACACCUAAUUUAUCCUCAAACUUUUUAUAGCAUUUUGGGAUUAUACAAGAUAAAAGGCAGAGCUCACCGCCUAAUUUAUGCUUUGGACACUUUAAAGUAUGAAUAUAAUUGCAGAUUCUGAUAAAGAAGGAAUGGAGAUAACUCUGUAUAAUAAAAGAGAAAUAAUUCGCAAAUUAUAUUAAACAAUUCGUUUUGUAGAUAUAAAUUACGCCAUUUUUGCAUCUGAUUGUAGACCAUUAUAUUUGAUCGGACACAAUUACCCCUUGAGACACCAUUUGUUGUCCCUUGGAUACCUAAGAUGUUAACAUUUUGUACAACUCUACAAGCUUCGAUUAUUGUAAACCUUUCUGACUUCCAAUAUCCAAGACACCGGAUGGUGGUUUUUGUUUUAUUCAUUUGAAUUAUGAAUUGACCUUAAAUUUCCCCCAAAAAAAGUCAAAUAUCUUUGAAUUUGAAUUUUUGAAAGAAACAUUUUUUGAAGAAGAAAUCCACCUAGUUGAAUUUUUGAAUUGGCUUCAAUCAUUAACGUUAAAUCAUCAGAAUAUAGGUCAAUUAUAUGUUGUGUCCCGCAAAUGGACACUCCCAAUUCCAAAUACUGUUUCUAAAUGGUCAUUGUUAGUUUAUUGAUUGUAUAUAUAAAUAGCUCGGGUGUGACAGGACAUUCUUUUCUACAGUUAUUUCCUAAUAGAAUGGAUUUAUCGAAGUGCUGUUAGCGAGUAAAGCUCUGAUAGGAUUAAAAAAACUUUAAACAGAUCUUAUAAUGGGUCAGUGAAGUACGGGGUCAAAUGUUUUGUAAAAAUCAAUGCACCAAACUUGCCACUCCUAUUAAGAGAUUCAAUUGUUGUAGCAAGAUUUCUUGAAAUACCCGUAAUUUUUAUAUUUCUCAGAAAACCUUUUUGUUCAUUUUUAUUGUUUUGGAAUCAAAUGGGUUCAAUUUGCUUAGCUAAAACACCAUAUAAUAUUCUGUAAGUUUCAUUUAAAACUGUGAUGGGCCUCUAAUGAUUGAAAUAAGUGCGAUCACCCUUUUUAUGUAUAAGAGCUAUCCUUCCUUUUGUAAGAGAAAGGGGCAUUUUUCAGACUUUUCCAUGUAAUUUCUUUUUUUUAUAAGGUAUGGUGCAAUUUCUUUACUAGUGAGAGAGAAAAUUUGCCCACAAAAGGCCAUCUGAACCGGAUGAUUUGGAAUCCUUGAAAUGUUUCUUUAUAUAGUCUACGGUGAAUCCUUCAACCUUUGAGGGUCUGUUUUGCCCUAAAAUCUGUAUGGUUACCUAUAUGUGGCUGUAUGAGUAUGUUUGUUAGUUAAAACUUUGGUUCUAAGAAUGGGAUCGGUUUCGUGGUCUACUUUUCCUCUCAUUUCAGUUUCACCAAUGAUUCUGUAUGAAUUGACCAAAUCUGUGGUGUAACUCUUUUUAUAAAAAGCAGAGUUAUUUAGAACUUUUUAACACUGAUUUAGAACCUAUUUACUUUUUUUUACUAUUUUUGUUAGAUUUAAUAAUUUUUUUCACUGUUU